CCUACGGGUGGCAGCAGUGGGGAAUAUUGGGCAAUGGGCGCAAGCCUGACCCAGCAACGCCGCGUGAAGGAAGAAGGCUUUCGGGUUAUAAACUUCUUUUGUCAGGGACGAAGCAAGUGACGGUACCGGACGAAUAAGCGACGGCUAACGACGGGCCAGCAGCCGCGGUAAUACGUAGGUGGCAAGCGUUAUCCGGAUUUACUGGGUGUAAAGGGCGUGUAGGCGGGACUGCAAGUCAGAUGUGAAAACCACGGGCUCAACCUGUGGCCUGCAUUGGAAACGGUCGUUCUUGAGUACUGGCGCGGCAGCCGGAAUUCCUAUUGUAGCCGUUACAUGCGUAGAUAUUAGGAGGACCCCCAGUGGCGAAGGCGGUCUGCUGGACAGCACCUGACGCUGAGGCGCGAUCGCGUGGGGAGCAAACAGGAUUAGAUACCCCGGUAGUC
rnacentral:rRNA from 1 species